CACGUAGGGCGCAAGCGUUGUCCGGAAUUAUUGGGCGUAAAGAGCUCGUAGGCGGUCUGUCACGUCGGAUGUGAAAACUCGGGGGCUCAACCCCGAGCCUGCAUUCGAUACGGGCAGACUAGAGUUCGGUAGGGGAGACUGGAAUUCCGGGUGUAGCGGUGAAAUGCGUAGAUAUCCGGAGGAACACCGGUGGCGAAGGCGGCUUCCUGGACCGACACUGACGCUGAGGCGCGAAAGCCAGGGGAGCAAACGGG
rnacentral:rRNA from 1 species